GAGAGAGAGAGAGAGAGAGAGAGAGAGAGAGAGAGAAUGAAUUUCUUGUAGAAGUAUUGGGAUUCCAGAUGUGAGCCACUGCAUCUAGUUUUUUGUGAGUCCCAGGGACUGAAUUCAGGUUCAUGUGUGAGCAUGUUCUAUAAAAUACUUUUACCUACUUAACUAUCUCACCAGUUAACUACUCUGUGUGGUAGUUUGAAUGUAUUUGCCUCCUCCUCCCAUAAGCUUAUAGGGAGUGGCACUAUUAGGAGGUGUGACGUUGGAGCUAGUGUGGUCUUGUUGGAGGAGGCUGUAUGACAACAGGCUUUUAAUCCAGACCUUGAGGCUGGAAAGAACACCUUUAAUCUGGGCCACACCUUCUUUUGGAAGUAUCUCACUAUGGGUGCCGGCUUUGAGGUUUCCCAUACUCAGGAUACCCUCCAGCGAGCCAGUUGACUUCCUGUUACCUGCAAGAUGUAGGACAUUUGGCUAUUUCUCCAGCACCAAGCCUGCCUGCCUUCCUGCCUGCUGCCAUGAUCCCCAUAAUGACUACUGAACUGUAAGUAAACCACCACAAUUAAAUGUUUUCUUUAUAAGAGUUGCCAUAAUCUCUGGGAAAGCUGGCCUUGUCUCUUGCUGGACACUACAGCAGGAGAGCUGGCCCCUGCACGAUGUAGAACUGGCCCCCAUCCCUCACCACAGACCAGGGUGAACCGACCCUGAGGGCAUGCAUGUAGGGGAGCUGAUUCUACCCCUUCUCCAGAGGUGGGUGUUCCCAGGGGCUUGGACUGACCAUCUUGGUUAUCUACCACCCAGGCCCACAGCAGGGGUUCUUGGGUUGACCCACCCUAACACCUACCCCAUCUAGGACCUGCUAGAGCUUGUGAAGGGACUGGGCCUGUGGAUCUCCAAGACUCGUGGCAGCCACAGGAUAUUCCAGAGGAGUUCCAGUGAGGAUCCAGUGGAGAUGGUGUACCAGAAACAAGAAGCCUUGAACCAGACCAGUGACUCAUUGCAAAGAUAGUUUUCCAGUAAGAUUGACAGGACAAAGAGGUAUGCUAUAUGGCACACUGAAGCCUCCAUUGCCACCAGGACCAAUGAAGAGGUGUUAGAGAGGCAGGAAAGAAGAGAAUGUUCCAUGAUAUUUCCUUUUCUGUUCACCUGGGUCUCCAGGGCUGCUUGGUUACCUGGACAGUGCAGCAACAGCGUGGAAGUGCAAGCAUCUCUGUGCCACUUGACUUGGAGUGACCAGUGCGGUGGCUGGGUCAUGUGGAAGCUCUCCAUUUAGUUUUGAAGAACUUCCAUGCUGAUGUCCAUAGUGGCUGCACAAGUUUGCAUUCAUUGUCUAACCAUUUCUUUUCCUCCAAUUCUCUCCAGUAGUUGUUGUCCUUUUUAUUUUUAUUUUGUUGUUGUUUGUUUUGAGACAUCUAUAACCUGGGAUGGACUGGCAUUUACUAUGUAGGUCCGGCUGACCUUGAACUCAUAUUCUUCUUGCCUCAGCCCUUCAAGUCCUGUGAUCAUAGCAUGGAUGCAACAAUACCCAUCACCUGUUUCCUCAAUGCGGUCUAUUCUGAAGGGAGUGAGAUACAUGCUUUAUGUACCAACCCCACAUCUGAUGGGUAUCUGUAGAGAGAUGCCCUCCUGGCCAUUUUCUAGGCUGAUGAUUGUUGUUAUCUUUGCUGUACAGAAGAGUCUUAAGUCUGUGCUACUGUGUACUUGACCCUGUGACUCCCAUCAGCCCUUGCUAAAGGCACUCCCGGCCUCCUUUGCAGGUGUACUGGAUAGGCUCCAGUGGUCAGAGACAGACCUCGGGAAGGAGGCACACUGCUUGCAGAUGAAAGCCACUGUGAGAGAGUGUGCUUUUGAGCUUCAUGUGAGCCUUUCAAGGUGUCUUUUCACUGGUGCUUCCAGACGGUGACCCAUUGUUUCAAUUUCUUUUUUAGAAAAAACAAAACAAAACCCCUCCCAACUUUCCAAAAGAAGGUUAAUGGGAUAAGGCACAUCUCCACUGCUUCAGGUCAAAGCUUUAUCUUCACUAUUCAACUCUCUUCAGCUUUGACCAGAAAUUGUUUUUCUCAUACAAUUCUUUUUUUGCUGAGAUACAUUCUAUACACCUUAGGGUGCCUCCCUACCUUUCCUUUUUGCAGUACUCGGGGUUGGUCCUGGGCCUCACAUGUGCCACUGAACCUCUUUCACUUAUUGAAAGUGUAUGCAGAGUUCCUACCCUACUACCCACUCCUGCAACCACCAAUUUACUCUCUCUGUCUAUCCUCUUAGUGUUGAGGAUUGAACCCAGGGCGUUUCACAUGUUACAUGAAUACUGUACCACUGAGUGGUAGUUAUUCUUUGUGGAUUUUUCUAUUUUGACAGUUCAUAUACCCAGAAUCAUAGGACGUGUGGCCUUUUCCAUCUGAUGCCUUACAUCCAGCUGAGGGUUUCCUUGACUCGUCUGUGUCAUGGCAUAUACUGCUACUCCAUUCUGUUUUAUAGUAGAAUUAUCCUAUAGAAUCACAAUACCAUUUUAUUAACCCUUAAAGAUGGAUAUUGGGGUUGCUUUACUUUUUUUGUUAUCAUGAACAACAGACAUUUGGUUGCUGUGAGCAUUUAGGUGCGGUGUGUGUGUGUGUGUGUGUGUGUGUGUGUGUGUGUGUGUGUGUAGAUAGUUGCAUGCACUUUUCCUGGGUGUAUAGCUAGGAGCAGAGGUUCUGGUUUCUAUGGUAACUCCAUGUUUGAUAUUUUAAGAAGCUGUCAAACUUUUCCACAAAGAGGCUGCUCCAGUCCACACCCCUCCAGUAACACAGGAAGGUUCUGGUCCAGUUUCUCCACAUGCUCACCAACACUUGUCCUUCUUUCUGAUCAUGCCCUCCUGCUGGGAAUGAAGUGUCAGUGGUUAGAUGCAGGAAGAGAAUAGAAGAUUGCACAGAG
rnacentral:lncRNA from 1 species